rnacentral:rRNA from 1 species
UGGGGAAUAUUGCGCAAUGGGGGGAACCCUGACGCAGCCAUGCCGCGUGAAUGAAGAAGGCCUUAGGGUUGUAAAGUUCUUUCGGUAUUGAGGAAGGUUGAUGUGUUAAUAGCACAUCAAAUUGACGUUAAAUACAGAAGAAGCACCGGCUAACUCCGUGCCAGCAGCCGCGGUAAUACGGAGGGUGCGAGCGUUAAUCGGAAUAACUGGGCGUAAAGGGCACGCAGGCGGUUAUUUAAGUGAGGUGUGAAAGCCCUGGGCUUAACCUGGGAAUUGCAUUUCAGACUGGGUAACUAGAGUACUUUAGGGAGGGGUAGAAUUCCACGUGUAGCGGUGAAAUGCGUAGAGAUGUGGAGGAAUACCGAAGGCGAAGGCAGCCCCUUGGGAAUGUACUGACGCUCAUGUGCGAAAGCGUGGGGAGCAAACAGGAUUAGAUACCCUGGUAGUCCACGCUGUAAACGCUGUCGAUUNGGGGGUUGGGGUUUAACUCUGGCGCCCGUAGCUAACGUGNNNNAUCGACCGCCUGGGGAGUANGGCCGCAAGGU